rnacentral:lncRNA from 1 species
CCCAAGUUUGUCAAGUUUCCUGGGCCUUUGCCAAUAUCACUUUACACAUGCAUAAAGACACUGUUCAUUAACAGCGGUAUGAAAUAUCUUCGAUAACAAAGGAGGAGUUUUAUUAUUGAAAUGAAUCAGGGGACAGUCUCUUUUUUUAAAUUGAGCUGUUAAAUACUUGGUACAAAACAAUAUAAUACGGUUGCGAGGAGAUACAUGAAUAUUAUGUUCGAGCGGCAAAAACAGUAUAACAGCUAUAUUUUUCAACUGGUAUUAAACAAACGUAAGCCUAGUAUAACAGCGAUAUUUUUCAAAUUAUAAGUAAACAAACAUAAAACUAAAAUAAAUUUUACUUAUCUCAAGAUGUCUUUUAAAUGUUUUCGUUUUAUUUCCAGCGUUGAUUUCGUUCUAUGUACGAACCAAAGACCAUUUGUGUUUUCAAAACAACACCAAUGAAAAUGGUGGGAAAUUUUCGAACUGCGUACUCCAAGCGUGAAAUACGGAAAAUGCGCGCAUCUGGUCCCGGAUGUAAAACACCAUUGUCCAUAUAAUAAUAAAUAAUCCACAAGUUAG